ACACGGGAUGCCAGUACGGCGAGUGAGCGGCAACAGCUCAAAUUUGAAAUCUGGCCCCUAGGGUCCGAGUUGUAAUUUGUAGAGGAUGCUUUUGGUGAGGUGCCGCCCGAGUUCCCUGGAACGGGACGCCACAGAGGGUGAGAGCCCCGUCUGGCUGGCCACCGAGCCUCUGUAAAGCUCCUUCGACGAGUCGAGUAGUUUGGGAAUGCUGCUCAAAAUGGGAGGUAUAUGUCUUCUAAAGCUAAAUAUUGGCCAGAGACCGAUAGCGCACAAGUAGAGUGAUCGAAAGAUGAAAAGCACCUUGAAAAGAGGGUUAAACAGUACGUGAAAUUGUUGAAAGGGAAGCGCUUGUGACCAGACUUGGGCGCGGCGGAUCAUCCGGGGUUCUCUCCGGUGCACUUCGCCGCGUUCAGGCCAGCAUCAGUUCGGCGCGGGGGAAAAAGGCUUCGGGAACGUGGCUGCUCCGGCAGUGUUAUAGCCCGUUGCAUAAUACCCUGCGCUGGACUGAGGACCGCGCAUCUGCAAGGAUGCUGGCGUAAUGGUCACCAGCGACCCGUCUUGAACCAACGGACCA
rnacentral:rRNA from 1 species